AGAUAUUAGGAAGACACCCCCCGGGGGAAAGGGGGAUUUUUGGGGGCCAAACUGGCGGGGAGGGGGGAAAAGGGGGGGGGGCAAACCGGGAUUUGUAACCCUGGUAUUCCCCGCUGUAAAGAACAAAUAUUGGGGGGGGGGGGUACCCCCCUGCGGGCGCCAGUUACCCCAAUAAGUAUGCCACCUGGGGAGUACGAUCGGCAAGGUUGAAAAUCAAAGGAAUUGACGGGGGCCCGCACAAGCGGGGGAUUAUGUGGGUUAAUUCGAAGCAACGCGAAGAACCUUACCAGGGCUUGACAUCCUACUAACGAAGUAGAGAUACAUUAGGUGCCCUUCGGGGAAAGUAGAGACAGGUGGUGCAUGGUUGUCGUCAGCUCGUGUCGUGAGAUGUUGGGUUAAGUCCCGCAACGAGCGCAACCCCUAUUGUUAGUUGCUACGCAAGAGCACUCUAGCGAGACUGCCGUUGACAAAACGGAGGAAGGUGGGGACGACGUCAAAUCAUCAUGCCCCUUAUGUCCUGGGCUACACACGUAAUACAAUGGCGGUCAACAAAGGGAUGCAAAGCCGCGAGGCAGAGCGAACCCCAAAAAGCCGUCUCAGUUCGGAUCGCAGGCUGCAACCCGCCUGCGUGAAGUCGGAAUCGCUAGUAAUCGUGGGUCAGCAUACCACGGUGAAUACGUUCCCGGGCCUUGUACACACCGCCCGUCA
rnacentral:rRNA from 1 species